rnacentral:rRNA from 1 species
AUGAAACAUUGGGAUAAGAACUCUAUAGAUUGCAAAAUAAAUAUCAUAAAUCUUGAUUAUGUAAUUAAGUCAGGACCAAGUGAAGCUACUCCAAAAGAUAUUGAAGAUUUCAAAAUGCAUAUUGAAGAGUUAUUAAAGUUAAAAGCUAUAAGAGAAAGUAGAAGUCCUCAUCGAUCUGCUGCUCUUGUAGUUAGAAAUCAUGCUGAAGUAGUUAGAGGUAAAUCUAGAAUGGUAAUUAAUUUUAAAAGGCUUAAUGGUAAUACAGUUGAUGAUGCAUAUAAUAUACCUAAUAAGCAGGAAUGGAUUAACAGAAUACAAGGAAGUAAAUAUUUCUCUUAA